rnacentral:misc_RNA from 1 species
CGUUACGCUCUCUCUUCUUCUGGCACGUUAUGAUUUAUUUCACAAAACUUUCCGCGUAGCAGCGACUUUAGCGGCACGGGUCAUUUAAACGUGACGUUGGAUCAAUUUUUCAAUCUAAAAGGCGAGAUUAACAGAUUUAAAAGUGAGAAAUUCCCGUCGCAAAAUCGCCGAUGUAUCGUCAAUUGAAGUUGAAUAUUGAGCACUCCAAACGUAAUCGCAGAAAAACAUUAAGCUGCUACGCAUGAAGCGACGGCUUCACACGUGUCGCAGCAAAUCAGUAUCUUUCUUUCACGGAGAAUUCACAGACGACGAUGAAUAAAAUUCAAGUCCAGAGACCAUUCGCGGAUUAAAGUCACUUCACACUGACGGACAAUUGUCGACAGAUACACACGGCAGGGGUAGGGGAGGGGGGGAG